rnacentral:lncRNA from 11 species
GGGGAUGCUUGUAAGUUUUAGAAUGGGAGAAGACACAUAAGCUUCUGACAGUAAGCUUCUCACAAGACAUUCAAAUGAUAAUUUAUUUUUAAGCUGGGUGAAAAGAGGUUUUUCUUCAGCAGCAAAUAUAUACAAAAGUCAAAAAUAAAAUAAAAUUAAGCUAUUCACAAUACUAUAACAGUUGAAAGCAUAUACUUGAAAGGAUGAAAACAAAUUAGAACAGUUUGAUCAAAUCAAUACAGUGCAAUUUCAGUAAAAAAAUAUGCAGCUAUUUCAUACUUUUUGUAUGAUGGUUUUUCAAUAAAACCAUGACAAAGGAGUAACAAGGCAGUUGCUGGGACAUUAUACUUACAAGAUGAUGGCAUGUCAUAGAAAUGUUAGCCGCAAAAACUGAAACAAAGGAUUGUAUUUUUACUUGUGUGUAUCUGGUAAAAAUGCACACCAUAUGUGAAGGGAGACAAACAGGGCUCUUGCAACAGAGUGAUAAAGUUAUACACAAAUGUUUUGACAAAACAUAUUUCUGUGUUAAAGAGUAUUUUAAACAACCUUUUGCUUUUAUAACAACAAAUUUCAAUUUUAGAUUUGGAAUGAAAUUGCCAGCAGCUUGUGAUGAAUAUGUUGCCCAAGUCACAAUGAGGAACCGAAAAGGGUUUUAA